UUUUUUUUUUUUUUUUUUUUUUUUGAUUAAAGAAGUCUGUCCAAUGCAAUUCACUGGACACGAACUCCGCUGACAUGGGAAGGCCCACUCCAGAUCCAUAAGCCAAGGUUCCACAUUCAGAUGAGACACUUCGUGAUAUCCUCCCUCCGCAGGGCUGUUUGAUGGGGCAAGCUGGGCUCCCAGGCUGUGUCCACCCCUCAUCCUUGAGCCAACCAGGAGGGAGUCCACGGAUGUUUCAGCUCAUAUAGCAGAAGAGAUGAAACUCAGGUUUGGUGUACCCUGAAAACCAAGCCAGAGUUUUAUCUGACUCUCCUGACUCUGGAUCCAGUGCUCUGUUUAUACAUCUCGCCCUGCCAUUGCCUGUGUAGCCUAGGGAUUCCUACCUUAUAGAGUUGCAGCAGAGGCCUAUGAGAGGGCUCAGUGUGGGUAAAGGUGCUUGUUACCAACUCUGGUGACUGAGUUUGAUCCCCUGAACCCACAUGUUGAGAGGAAGAGAACUGGCUCCCAUGAAUUGACCUCUUAGAUACCUGCACACUGUGGAACAAACAUGCGCCCACAUGUAUGUACACGAACACACACACACACACAUGCUACUCUUGCAGAGGACCCGAGUUUAACCUCAGCACGCAAAUAAAGAGCCUCAUAACUGCCUGUGACUCCAGCUCCAUGGGAUCUGAAGCCUUCAUCUGGACUCCAGGGACACCCUUGUACACACACACACACACACACACACACACACACACACCCUUCAUCUGGACUCCAGGGACACCCUUGUACACACACACACACACACACACACACACACACACACACACGACCAGGGUUCAAUUCCCAGCACUCGCAAAUAAAGAGCCUCAUAACUGCCUGUGACUCCAGCUCCAUGGGAUCUGAAGCCUUCAUCUGGACUCCAGGGACACCCUUGUACACACACACACACACACACACGACCAGGGUUCAAUUCCCAGCACUCCCGUGGCACCCACCCCUAACUCCAGAUUCAGAUAGUAUGAUGCUCUUUUCUGGUCUCUAAAUUUAGGCACCAUAUACGUGUAGUGCAAGGACAGACAGGUAGACAAAAGGCCCACAGAUAAAAUGAAAAAAAAAAAAAAAAACUAAAUUGCAAACCCUCCAAAACAGCUGCACAGAAAUAAAAUUCACCGAGCUAGUUGCAAGAAACUUGUGACUUCUGGUAGUUACCAGGUCUGGUCACAUGAGGGUGCUGCUGCCUAAACCAGACACUCCGGAGUCUUCAGGGCCUGCCUUUCAAGAUCUGGAAGUAGAGUGAGGUUUGUUUCUUCUUCAUUCCUCCCCAGGAAGGAAGUGUGCAUGCCAGACCUUCACCAUCUGGGGGUGGGAAUCCAAGCUCACACAUCUGGCUCAGAUCCAGUUUGGAUUUGCUCUAUGUGACCCCUGUGAGGAGCCUCUGCCGUUUCCCCACUUGUCACCUGGUGGGGCCUGAGAAGAGCACUCGCAGCUCCAAGGUAGCCCUUGGGGGGUCCUGGCCCCAGGGGACUUACCCAAGCUCCCAAACAGCACAGCCCAAACCUCCAAGUGUUUUCGUAACCACGAGCUUCAUUGCCCCCGCUCCGUGAGUCUCUGUAGCUUUCUCCUCCUCCUGUGCAAAAUGGGAGGAGAAAAACUACUUCACUGGACAUAUGGAAGCCCCUGACCCUGAGCUGGGCGCACAUCUGGAAGAGAACACUACCCCUCACUUCCCUAGCUGUACAGAGGCACUCAGUUUCUUUGCUAGGGUGACUGUCACAUCUCCAAAACUGGGCCACUUAAUGGAGACAGUGGAGCUUUACCAAGCAACUCACUUGGGGGCCCCAAGGGUCCUGCCUGGUGGUGCUCUCCCCUUGAACCAAAGUACACAGUGAUGCAGAUCAUAAGGUCACAUGUGGCACUGUGGAAGUUGUACCUGGCACUCUGUGGGCAGAGGCUCCAGACACCUGGGAGAAACCCAGCCCCAUUGCUACCCACUCCAGCUGCUCACUCCCUGGCCCCUGAGAGGUAUCUCAACCUGUCGCUCCGUUUCAGGCAGAGAGUAACUCUCAAUCAGUUGCCAGCCUCCUGUGGUAGUGGUGGGAUCCACCUCUGUGCCAUCACUUGGAUUCUGAAUAUCAGGAUGGCUGCAGGACUCAACCACAAGCCUGUCCCCUGUUGCCAGGUUCCCCUGCCAACCCCCAUCUAGGCAAGGAGGACAAAAGUCUGCUGGUGACAGAGCAGGACGGCCCUCACCUGAGGGUAGCUACAAGUUACUGCUUCCCUGUCACCUUACGCAGCAGACUUCUGCCUCACCCUGGGGUGGGGGUUGGAGUCAACAGUGGCAGGGCUGGAUGCCAGUUUCACAGGAUCGCCCCAAACCUAAGAUGUACUAAUCUCAAACAGCAGCUGUGCCGAGAGAGCAUGGACAACAGUCGAGCCACGCAGUCCAGGGGGGAGGCAGGAUCUGCAGCUCUCAGAUCCAGUCUCAAGAUGGGAAGCUCCGGUGUGCUAUGGAAGGAGAAGCCUCUGAGGUAACGCCCUUCCCUCCUUCUCUCUCCCCUUCUCCCUUUUUCUUCUCCCCUCCCUCUCUUGCCCCCUCAUUUCCUGUCUUUUCUCUCUUCUUCCUCGUAGUCCUUUCUCCUUUCCCAUCUCCCUCCUCCUGCCUUCUUCCCCAGUCAGUCCUUGGGUCCCCAACACAGGAAAGAGAUCAGGUGUGAGCCUGGGUUAGGCCUACCUUCCCCACAAGCCUUCCUAGUUCUGUGACCUCAGCCAGGGUCUCAGGCAGAGGUGACCAGGUCCUAAGACUUUACAGAUCAGGGGCAGCUGGUAAGACGUGGACAAGGCUACCAGAUAACCUGAGAGGGGACCCCAGGAUGAAGAGACAUCCGGUCCCCAGCUCAGCUAUAGACUGUGUGGCAAGGACAAUUGCCAUCUGAAGAGGAGUUACAAUGACCAGUCACACCACACCUUCAGGAGAUGGGGCCCGUUCUGGUCUGCAGGUCUGGAACCCUCAUGUGCCUUCCCGCAGCUCUGGCAGCUCUGGCCCAGAUUCUUUGUGCUGCCAAGGGACCGGUUGGAGUCUUGGGGCUUCUACUGGUCCAUCCACGGCCAUCCCAGACAUGAAGACUCGGACUUUUUUCUCCACAUGUCCAUGGACCUGAGGGACAAUUGGGCACUGUGGCUACCAGCUGCUGCCCAUGCUGGAUUGCCACAUGAGGGCAAAGGAUGACCUCUGAGCCUCUCCAAGUUCUGCAAAGAUAAUUCUGGUUCCUCCCUGUCCUCCUAGGAUCCUGUUUCAGUUCCUACACGUGUGUGUGUGUGGGGUCAUUGACUCCUCAGCCUUGUUUCACCAAGCCUUUCCCAGAAGUAAAUCUUGAUGCUGACCUCCGUCCUGACUCUUGGGGUAAAAGAGAAGUUUGAGUAGGAGAGGGGAGGGGCUGAAAAAAUGCAGGAGAUGCUUGUGAGGACCCCCUGUCCCAAGGUGACCAUCCAGUACUGAGGUUACACAAUGGUGACGCACGCCUUUGAU